rnacentral:rRNA from 1 species
ACGUGAUAGUUGACGGCAGGCGUGCGCGGUAAGGAUGAGGGGGUAAGGUUUGGCCGGAUUUAUUGGGCUGAAGGCGAGGGCAGGGGGUUCCUUAAGUCUGAGGUGAAAGCCCACGGCUCAACCGUGGAAGGUCAGUGGAAACUGGGGAACUUGAGUGCAGAAGAGGAGAGUGGAAUUCCAUGUGUAGCGGUGAAAUGCGUAGAUAUAUGGAGGAACACCAGUGGCGAAGGCGACUCUCUGGUCUGUAACUGACGCUGAGGCUCGAAAGCGUGGGGAGCAAACAGGAUUAGAUACCCCGUC